CCGAGGACCUGAUUGGCCGAAGUUGAGGUCAAAAUCUACAAUACUUAUCUCCCACUUUCGAGUCCGAGUUUGUAUCGAGGUCGAUCAAAAAGAGUAAAAACUCAAAGCCGAGGCCAACCUAACAAUGUAUUUCGGCAACCAAACUCAGAUACUAUAAGCAAUCUAACAUGUUUUAUGAAUCAGUGCUGCUAAUUUCUUUGAUCUGUUGAUUUGGAUUGUUGAAGUGUGGAUCCAGGUAAGAUCAGUUGUGGCCAAUCUCAGAUUGCCAUUGGUAACCAUCAAUAAUGGCUAGACGAAUCGUCAUCAGAUCGAAGCCUCAUCCGAGCUCCUAUAACUAGGCCCUCCCUUUCUUAGAUUUCACUUUUACUAUUUUAUGGCUUGACCAUCACGGAAGAGGAGAGUGAGGUCCUUAGGCGAUUUUUGAUGAAUCUCUCAUGAUCGCGGUUGGCAGUUUGGCAGCUGCAGUCAUCCUCGGCUGGAUCCGAGCUCAGAUCCUUGAAGUUUAGUCCUUAGGCUGUUCAGUUAUCCUCACUGUAGGUUAGUUUUCCCAAUUUUUCCCUUUCUUUUUUUAAAUUUUGCCGAGGAUGAGCAUCUCGAGCUCAUCUCCCGACACUUGGCUGCCAAAUAUUCCUAUUGUUGCUUAGCCUACAUUUAUGAAUAUGGGCAUUCAGUAUAUUGAUUUGAGAGUUUCGGACUUUAUUACCUCAUCUCGUAACAAGGAUACUAGUCCUGUAGAGGGAUUAUUUUUAGCUGAUAUGAUAACCUAAUGAAAGCAUUCCUACAAUGCAAGGCUUCUGAUCUAAUCAGCUAACUUGACAUUGCAGCAACUACAACUCUCCCUUCUUGAGAGAUUUCUAGUCAGCACCUCCAAGUCCCAAAGAGUAUAUUGGGUAUGAAGGCAUAGUCCCGCACAAAGUUGAAGAAUUUAAAUCGAAGCUCCUUUAAAAUAGACUAUCGUGUAAGGCUCUGCUGGUGAAGAAAGAAAUCCUUCCUACCUCUGAGCAAUAUUAUAAUCUCUUAACCUUUAUGAAAGAGGGAUGCUCUCAUGUCACUCUUACUUGCUUCUUCGCAGUGGCAUGCUGGCACCUGAUAAGUAGCAAUUGC
rnacentral:lncRNA from 1 species